UAGGGAAUCUUCCACAAUGGACGAAAGUCUGAUGGAGCAACGCCGCGUGAGUGAAGAAGGGUUUCGGCUCGUAAAGCUCUGUUGUUAAAGAAGAACACGUAUGAGAGUAACUGUUCAUACGUUGACGGUAUUUAACCAGAAAGUCACGGCUAACUACGUGCCA
rnacentral:rRNA from 1 species